AACGCACAUUGCGCCCCUUGGUAUUCCGAGGGGCAUGCCUGUUCGAGCGUCAUUACAACCCUCAAGCACUGCUUGGUGUUAGGCUCCGCUGGUUUCAGCGGGCCUUAAAGUCAGUGGCAGCGCCGUCUGAGCUCUGAGCGUAGUAAAUCUCCUCGCUAUAGAGACCAGGUGGUCCCUCGCCAUCAACCCCCCAACUUCCUAAGUUUGACCUCGGAUCAGGUAGGGAUACCCGCUGAACUUAA
rnacentral:misc_RNA from 1 species